GAUUCAGGUCAUGAGGGACCCUCUACAUCACAUCGAGAAGAGGGUCUGACUAUUGUGACACCAUCUAUGGUGGACACUACCAUUAGGAUAGGUUAUCCUCAUAAUUUUGAUCAGAGCCAAUUUGAAUGUACAUCGACAUCCUUUGAGGAGUUAGCUAGCACUACAUUUGGUGUUGAUACUGCACAAGAUACUGCUAGAGGA